rnacentral:rRNA from 1 species
AGUGGGGAAUAUUGCACAAUGGGCGCAAGCCUGAUGCAGCCAUGCCGCGUGUGUGAAGAAGGCCUUCGGGUUGUAAAGCACUUUCAGCGAGGAGGAAAGGUUAGUAGUUAAUAACUGCUAGCUGUGACGUUACUCGCAGAAGAAGCACCGGCUAACUUCGUGCCAGCAGCCGCGGUAAUACGAGGGGUGCAAGCGUUAAUCGGAAUUACUGGGCGUAAAGCGUACGCAGGCGGUUUGUUAAGCGAGAUGUGAAAGCCCCGGGCUCAACCUGGGAACUGCAUUUCGAACUGGCAGACUAGAGUAUGAUAGAGGGUGGUAGAAUUUCAGGUGUAGCGGUGAAAUGCGUAGAGAUCUGAAGGAAUACCGAUGGCGAAGGCAGCCACCUGGGUCAAUACUGACGCUCAUGUACGAAAGCGUGGGGAGCAAA